rnacentral:rRNA from 1 species
UACGAAGGGGGCUAGCGUUGUUCGGAAUCACUGGGCGUAAAGGGCGCGUAGGCGGUUUGGUAAGUUAGAAGUGAAAUGCCGGGGCUUAACCUCGGAACUGCUUUUAAAACUGCCUGACUAGAGUAUGGGAGAGGAUGGUGGAAUUCCUAGUGUAGAGGUGAAAUUCGUAGAUAUUAGGAGGAACACCGGUGGCGAAGGCGGCCAUCUGGACCAUUACUGACGCUGAGGCGCGAAAGCGUGGGGAGCAAACAGG